CCUACGGGAGGCUGCAGUGAGGAAUAUUGGUCAAUGGACGAGAGCCUGAACCAGCCACGUCGCGUGAAGGAUGACUGCCCUAUGGGUUGUAAACUUCUUUUAUAUGGGAAUAAAAUGUUCCACGUGUGGUGUUUUGUAUGUACCAUACGAAUAAGGAUCGGCUAACUCCGUGCCAGCAGCCGCGGUAAUACGGAGGAUCCGAGCGUUAUCCGGAUUUAUUGGGUUUAAAGGGCGGGUAGGUGGAAUGUUAAGUCAGUUGUGAAAGUUUGCGGCUCAACCGUAUAAUUGCAGUUGAAACUGGCAGUCUUGAGUACAGUAGAGGUGAGCGGAAUUCGUGGUGUAGCGGUGAAAUGCAUAGAUAUCACGAAGAACUCCGAUUGCGAAGGCAGCUCACUGGACUGCAACUGACGCUGAGGCUCGAAAGUGUGGGUAUCAAACAGGAUUAGAUACCCUUGUAGUC
rnacentral:rRNA from 1 species